UCUGAGGAAAUUAUUAAAAAGAAUUCUACUCAAGACAAUCGACCCUGUCAUCACAUAGCACCAAGAGCUACUUCACUACUACUACCACUGUUGCUACUACACUACUACUACUGCUGCUACUACUACACUACUACUGCUGCUGCUGCUACUACAUGGUGUUGAGUGCAACCGGUCGCUGUUUGAUGUAAUAAAAGCUGUCACCUGCAAAAAGAAUUGGUUUAAGUCUCUGUGAAGGAUUAGGACGGUCAGUGAUGAACAGUAGACAAGGAGGAGCAGAGGGUCUAGGAACCACUUUGAUUGAUCAGGUUGCUGAACAACAGUCAUUAAUGGUCACAUGUCGAUGUCUGUCACUCAGGCCACCGUACCUUGGUGGGGAACAGCCAAUAUGUUAAUAAAAAAGAAUAUUGAGGAUAUGAAGCAAAUCAGACGAGGUAUUCACAGGUGAUCACAUAGAAACCCAAUAUGCCAGUUUCUUUAAUAAAAUGGCAAAUUAGGACAUGCACAGCCCAAAGCUAAUUCAAGCCAUCCACUAAGAAACACCAGCUUCAGAGCUGAACUGAAGAGGCAUUCUCUUAUAUCAGAGAGACCAAAUAUCUUAAAAUACACAGCACAUUGAACUUGAAGCUGUUUAGAAAUUGAAGUCUUUAAGAUACCUGGAUGCAGCACUCAGAAAAUGUGAUAUGAAAAGCAUUUUCUGCAUUUUUUAUUAAUUUGCCAAAUUAUAUUUUUUUUAGCAUUAUAUAUUAGCAUGGAUCUUUUACACAAUAAAUAUAUUACA